UACAGAGGUCUCAAGCGUUGUUCGGAUUCAUUGGGCGUAAAGGGUGCGUAGGCGGCGCGGUAAGUCGGGUGUGAAAUCUCGGAGCUUAACUCCGAAACUGCAUUCGAUACUGCCGUGCUUGAGGACUGGAGAGGAGACUGGAAUUCAUGGUGUAGCAGUGAAAUGCGUAGAGAUCAUGAGGAAGACCAGUGGCGAAGGCGGGUCUCUGGGCCGAUACUGACGCUGGAGGAGCGAAAGCGUGGGGAGCGAACAGG
rnacentral:rRNA from 1 species